GCUUACGGCCAUAUCAGCCUGGGUACGCCCGAUCUCGUCUGAUCUCGGAAGCUAAGCAGGGUCGGGCCUGGUUAGUACUUGGAUGGGAGACCGCCUGGCAAUACCAGGUGCUGUAAGCA
rnacentral:rRNA from 1 species